rnacentral:rRNA from 1 species
GAUGAACGCUGGCGGCGUGCCUAAUACAUGCAAGUCGAGCGAACAGACGAGGAGCUUGCUCCUCUGACGUUAGCGGCGGACGGGUGAGUAACACGUGUAUAACCUACCUAUAAGACUGGGAUAACUUCGGGAAACCGGCGCUAAUACCGGAUAAUAUAUUGAACCGCAUGGUUCAAUAGUGAAAGACGGUUUUGCUGUCACUUAUAGAUGGAUCCGCGCCGCAUUAGCUAGUUGGUAAGGUAACGGCCUACCAAGGCAACGAUGCGUAGCCGAACUGAGAGGGUGAUCGGCCACACUGGAACGUAGACGCGGUCCAGACGCCUAAGGGAGGCAGCAGUAGGGAAUGUUCCGCAAUGGGCGGAAGCAUGACGGAGCGACGCGACGUGAGAGGUGAAGGUGUUGGGAUCGUAAAACUCUGUUAUGAGGGAUAAACAAAUGUGUAAUUAACUAUGCACGUCUUGACGGUACCUAAUCAGAAAGCCACGGCUAACUACGUG